AUUGAACGCUGGCGGCAUGCCUUACACAUGCAAGUCGAACGGUAACAGGUCUUCGGAUGCUGACGAGUGGCGAACGGGUGAGUAAUACAUCGGAACGUGCCUAGUAGUGGGGGAUGACUACUCGAAAGAGUGGCUAAUACCGCAUGAGAUCUACGGAUGAAAGCAGGGGAUCGCAAGACCUUGUGCUACUAGAGCGGCCGAUGGCAGAUUAGGUAGUUGGUGGGAUAAAAGCUUACCAAGCCGACGAUCUGUAGCUGGUCUGAGAGGACGAUCAGCCACACUGGGACUGAGACACGGCCCAGACUCCUACGGGAGGCAGCAGUGGGGAAUUUUGGACAAUGGGCGCAAGCCUGAUCCAGCAAUGCCGCGUGCAGGAUGAAGGCCUUCGGGUUGUAAACUGCUUUUGUACGGAACGAAAAGCCCUGGGUUAAUACCCUGGGGUCAUGACGGUACCGUAAGAAUAGCACCGGCUAACUACGUGCCAGCCGCCGCCGUAAUAC
rnacentral:rRNA from 1 species